CCAUGCGGCACAAGGAAAUGAAUCCGACUAGGAACCAUGAGGUUCCGGGUUUGAUCCCUGGCCUCGCAUGCACAGUGGGUUGAGGAGCCGCCAUUACCGUGACUGUGCUGUAGUUUGCAGAUGUGGCUCAGAUCUGGAGUGGCUGUGGUGUAGACCAGAAGUUGUUGCUCUGAUUGGACCCCUAGCCUGGGAACCUCCAUAUGCUAGAGGUGCGGCCCUAAAAAAGGCAAAAAAAAAAAAAAAAAAUGUGCUUUCCAUUACUGAGCCUGAUACAGUGAUUACCAGCUUGCAAGCCCCUGUCCUCAAGAGAGAGCUCGCUUUCACCCCCAGGAAGGGGUGAAUACCCUGGUUCAAAUCCCUUUCCAGUGGGAAGUCUGGCACCUUGGAAAAGACACUCAGCAGAUGACAACUAGCACAACUCUCACACCCACUCUGUCAUGCUCCCUCUGGGAUCAGAGGGCUCUCAGUCAAUCCACUCAGGGCAGGGUGGCUGGAUUCCUGGGCCACUAGUUCAAGGUCAUUAUCCUUUUGGCUACCACUCCAGCCAUCUCGCAGCAGGUCAGCUUGCCUGGUCGCUGGCAGGCAUUGGCAAAGGAGUUACAGAGAAUCCGAAGGGAAGGGAAUCUUGCUGGGAUCUGGUUAGAGCCUGAGGGAGCCAGAACAGCUGGGCCUGAGGAAUCCGGAACUUCUGGGUGAGUUCGGGGAGGGUGAGGAGAACGCGGUGGAGGCUGCGGCAGAGCUGCGUGCAGAUGCCAAGAGGGCCCCUCAGGUGGACUCGGGGCCAAAAAGGGCCAGAGCCCCAGAGCAGCGGCGCUUGCCCGGAGAGUGGCGUCCUCUGGGCUGCGGGCGGCCUGUCUGCUGUUCUUGGCGGCCCACUCGGAGUCUGGGAGUCGGAGGAGAGGCCGCGCUUGAACCCAAGCCCCACCCCCGUGUGCGCCGGAGACCAAAGCGUCCCUCCUGCGCCCAACAAAACCCAGAGACUGGGGGUCCCGCCGCCCGUACGCCUCGUCUUCCAACCCACGCCUCACGGAAGGAAUGACGGACUGCGACAUCUCGUUUCUCGUCAUCUUUAUCGAGUAGGCAAAGGAAAAUUAUCUGAGGACUCCGAAGACAAAGGAUUUCAGUCGUGCCCACAGGGACUGGAAAGCAUUUCCCAGUUGAAGUCUGGGCGCCCCCAGGAGAGACCUACAGGACGGGGCAGAAAGGGAGCCGCUUGGGCGCAGAGCCCGCUGAGGUCAAGGCUGGUGGCUUCCGGAGACCCCCGCGCCUCGCAUGGGGGAUCCCAUGCCCGAGCUCACAGCCAGGUAAGGGCUGCACCCAUCCGUGGGUCUCAUACCAGGAGAUACAAGUACCUGUGAUGGGUUUUUAUGCUCUUCUGGUCUAGUGGCCGUCCUAUCAGGUAGGAGGAGGUUGGAUCGUAACAUUAAUCCUAGAAGAUAAUUGCAUCAGAAGACCUGAUACUGUUUGCACCAAAGUCAAUAAUCUUGGAUAAAAUACUCCAGGGUCAAAUCUCUUCAUAGAUUUGGAUAGAUUGAAUUAGGGGUGAAAACGAAAAGUGCUAGGACACCUGAAGGGAAAAAAAAAAAAAGACUAUUUGGGAGGACACUGGGUUGUAGAAAGCCCCAAAUCACACUGCUAAUGCUGGAACAGAGGCUGAAACCCAGGUUUCCAAGCAUGGAAUGCUUGUGUGGGGGAGCGGGGGCAGGGGAAGAAUGCCAAAGAUGUGUAAUGUAAAGAAGGAACAAGGGGAGUUCCCAUCGUGGCGCAGUGGUUAACGAAUCUGACUAGGAACCAUAAGGUUGCAGGUUCCAUCCUUGGCGUUGCUCAGUGGGUUAAGGACCUGGCGUUGCCAUGAACUGUGGUGUAGGUCGAAGACCCGGCUCGAAUCCCCAUGUUGCUGUGGCUUUGGCAUAGGCCAGCGGCUAGAGCUCUGAUUAGACCCCCAGCCUGGGAACCUCCAUAUGUCUUGAAUCGGCCCUAGAAAAGACAAAAAAAAAAAAAAAAAAAAGAAAAAGGAGGACCGAGGCUGGUGACCUAAUUCUCAAAUUGGACUUUAAGAAUUUCCCAGUUAUGUCCUCUCCUGGUGAAUUGUUCAAUUCAAUGAACUUCAGACUGUGUUUGCACCAGUGUCACAGCAAGAAGCUUCAGAAACUGAACUGCUUGGUUGCAGGGGGGUUCACCUCUCUCUGGAUGAAUGACCCACAGCAGAUUAUCUCCUCUCUCUAGGCCCCCUUUUCUCAUCUCUGAAAUGGAAGGCAAAUUAAAUCUCAUUACAAGGCAGCUUUUGUGAAUGUAUUCAAUAGUAAAAGUGAUUAUUUAGGAUUAUCUGAAAGAAAAUUAUUUGCUCAAUUUUUAUCAUCUCCAUCAUUAUCAUCAUCUUAUUAUUAUCACCACUAUCAUCAUGGAUAGGACUAUAAUUUAAUGAGAACUAAUGUUAAAAACAGCCUUUUGAGGGGAGGUUUUUUUUCCCCCAUAAAUGGAUUUUUUCCUUAGCAUAUCAUAUCCAUAGUAUAUUGCAUUAUAAUACACCUUCUUCAUCUGUUUUAACCUGUUGACAAAAGCAUCAGUGGCAACAUUAUUGAUUUCUGUACCAGAUAUUUACCUUAGUGUGAUAAAUAACAGUCAUUCCCAACACUCAGGAAGCAUAUUUUUAUGUCCUUCCAUGUUCCAGGUGCUGUAAUGAAAAUCUGGUUAAAACUUUCAGUCCUUACAUCUUAGUGAGAGAGCAAAUAAGCAGUCAAGAGACCUUUCAGAAUACAGCCAACUCCAUGAGUAUUGCUGUAGCUGAUUUGAUAACCAGAAAAAAAUGUUCUUAAUGUGAUGCCUCCCUUCAAAGCCAGAUUUUUAUUGUUCGCUUAACUCCAGGCUGGGUGUGGGGGGAUGGGCGGAGAGCUUGGUAAAAUAAUAAAUGCUAAAUAACAAAAUAGAAAAAUCAAACAAUGGACAUUAGAGAUGGUAGAUGAUUAAAAGCUCUAUCUAGUUGAAAGGCUUAUGGGGCAAUUUAGCUGAGGUGAAAAUUUAGCCAAAGAUAGAAUAGAAGAGCUUUGCCUGGGUGGUGGGAGGAUGAGGCCAUCUCAGAAUUGUUUGAACAAAGACACAGCUGAAAUCCAAGGAGUAGUGGCGGCACAGCAAGCUUGUGUUGUGGGAGCACCAGGAAGAAGUCAUUACAGUGAGAUCCAACAAUGGGAUUCAUCUGCAGCAUCAAUCACCAACAAGGUGCAAAACACAUGACAAUACCAGGGCAAGAACAAAGAGGUAUUUUGGCCCCCAUAGUUGGGUGUUCAAUAUCUCCCUUUAGAUUAUCUAAAGCUCCAAAAUUCAAAGAAUCCUGAUGCAUAAUAGUACCAGGACGUUCACAUUAGAAUUAGUCUACCCCUUUGCCUGGCAGAAAUGGUCAGAUCUGCAUAAGCGAUCUGAUAGCUUCCGCGGCUUCUUUUUUCAUUUCACAGGUACUACUCUUCAAUAAACAUUCACAUGCUUGAUUCCAUCCCUGAUCCUCUAGAACCUGACCAGAGAGAGUGUUUAAAUUAAUUGUACUUAUUAUUUUUAUUUGAUAUUCAAGUUUUGUUUUCCUUGAUCAAAGACAGCCCUUCAAUCUCAUACUUUUUUUUUUGUGGCAUAUGCUCCCAGAGUCUUUUACAGUUGCCUUGUUUUCUGGUUCAAUAAACUGUCCUAGGUGCCUUUUUACUUUUCUUGCCCAGACCUGUAAUCAGCCUUUUCUCCAAGGAAACUUGGUUCCUUUUACUGGGGAAUGGUGUGUGAAAACCACUUUUUUUUUUUUUUUUUUUUUUUUAAAUGGCUGUACCACAGCAUAUGGAAGUUUCUUGGCCAGGGAUUGAAUCCAAGCCACAGCUGCAACCUACAUCACAGCUGUGACAAAGCUGGAUCCUUUACCCCAGUGCACCAGGCUGGGGAUUGAAGCCUGGCCUCCAUAGUGACUUGAGUCACUGCAGUUGGAUUCUUAACCUACAGAACCGCAGUUGGGAACUCCAAAACCACAAAUUUUCGUUUGUUUGUUUUCUUUCUCCUUCUCUUUUUUUUUCUUUCCUUUUUUUGCUUUUUAGGACUGCAUCUGUGGCAUAUGGAAGUUUCCAGUCUCAGGGUUGAAAUGGAGCAGCAGCUGCUGGCCACAGCCAUAGCCACAGUAACGUGGGAUCUGAGCCUCUUCUGCAACCUACACCACAGUUCUUGGCAAUGCAGAAUCCUUAACCCACUGAGCGGGACCAGGAAUCAAACUCUGAUCCUCAUGGAUAGCAGUUGGGUUCGUAACCCAAUAAGCCACAAUGGGAACUCCUCCAAACCACAAUUUUUAAAUCCAUGUGCACAAUACUAUUUUAUUGAUAAUUGCAUCUAGUCCUUUAAAGUAGACAAAUUUAAGAGAGGCAAAUUUUUAGAAAAAUAAAUCAUGAAUUUUUAUUGGCCUUCAAGUUUAAAGCUACAGAUUGUUUUGAGCAUAGAGGAACUCAAGGGAAAGGCAAUAUAGAAAUUACUAGAGAUGCUUCUAUGUAACAACCAUGCUACAGUAUAAGCUUCCAUUUAAAAAUUAUGUAGAAAGUAGUUCCCUGGUGGCUCAGCAGGUGAAGAAUCCAGCAUUUUCACUGCUGUGGCUAUAGUUUCUGCCUCAGUAACUCACAUUCAGUCCCUGGUCUGAAAACUUCCACAUUCCAUGGGCAUGGCCACACCCCCAAAAAAGAAUCAUGUAGAAAAAUUAAACAAUGGGAAGCAGUUGCCAAAUUACAUCAUUGCUGUAUACCCUGGAAAUAAUGACAUAAUACACUCUCAAAAAUGGGAUGAGGAAAAUAGUAUAUAGAAAGAAGUAUUUUUGUAUCUUGAAGGACAAGUGGAGAAAACUAAUAGAGGACAACUAGGAAAAGAAAUUUAUUAUAGAUAAAUAAAUAUUAAUUAAAACUAUCAAACUGUCAAAAGGGCAAAAAGGUGGAGAAUUCAAAGGGUUGAUGAGGAUUUAAGAACAGACCUCUCAUCAGGACUGGUAUUAAUGGUGAUUCUGAAAAGGAAUAUGGCAGUCUUGGUGGAAGUUAUGUAGGCUUUUGUCCUUUGUCCCUGUGAACCACACUGCUGCUCCUGUCUCACAGAAAACAUCCAUUCAGGUCCACAGGGCAUGUAUGUAAUGAAGUUCAUCACGGCAUUGCUUGUCAUAUAGGAGAGUUGGAAGCAACCAUGGUAUCCAUCAUUAGGUAAGUAUUUGUAUAAAAUGUGGUCUUACUAUAAGAUCUAGUGCAACUGUUAUAUAAAACACAUUGUACGUAUAGAAUUAUUGACCUUAAAAUCAUAAUGCUGAAUGAAUAAUGAAAACAAAGAGAUAUAAACUUGAGUAGCAUGUAUAUACAUCAAAAACACAUUCACACACCAAAGUUCUACAAAUUAUGAUAAGUGUAGACAUAAUUUUUUUAAUUAUGAAAAAUUAGAGUUGGGCAGGAGUAGAAGAGGUGAUCAGAGAUGAGAGAAUAGAAUGAAAUAAAAUAAAUAAAACAGAAGCAUGUUUUUACAAGGAUGAAUAAUGAUAUUUACUAAGAACUCUAUAUCUUUAGUAUGGACAUUAAAAGGGGGGGGAGUCACUUAUGAACUAGUUUCAAAAACAUCAUCUUGGAGUUCCCGUCGUGGUGCAGUGGUUAAUGAAUCCGACUAGGAACCCUGAGGUUGCAGGUUGGUCCCUGCCCUUGCUCAGUGGGUUAACAAUCCAGCAUUGCCGUGAGCUGUGGUGUAGGUUGCAGACGCUGCUCGGAUUGGAGUGCUAGCCUGGGAACCUCCAUAUGCCGCGGGAGUGGCCCAAGAAAUGGCAAAAAGACAAAAAACAGAAAAAACACAUCAUCUUGGAGUUCCCUUAUGGAACAACAGGUUAAGGAUCCAGCAUUGUCACUGAAGUAGUUCAGGCCACUGACAUGGCAUGGGUUCAAUCCCUGGCCCAGGAACUUCCAUAUGCCAAGGACGCAGCCCAAAAAAAAUCUUAUAAUUAUUCCUGGU
rnacentral:lncRNA from 9 species